CCUACGGGAGGCAGCAGUGAGGAAUAUUGGUCAAUGGACGCAACUCUGAACCAGCCAAGUAGCGUGCAGGAUGACGGCCCUACGGGUUGUAAACUGCUUUUAUGAGGGGAUAAAGUGAGGCACGUGUGGCUUUUUGCAGGUACCGUAUGAAUAAGGAUCGGCUAAAUCCGUGCCAGCAGCCGCGGUAAUACGGAGGAUCCGGGCGUUAUCAGGAUUUAUUGGGUUUAAAGGGAGCGUAGGUGGGUUUUUAAGCGAGUUGUGAAAGGUUGCGGCUCAACCGUAAAAUUGCAAUGGGGACUGGCGGGCGUGAGUACAGCUGAGGUAGGCGGAAUUCGUGGUGUAGCGGUGAAAUGCUUAGAUAUCACGAAGAACUCCGAUUGCGAAGGCAGCUUACUAAAGUGUUACUGACACUGAGGCUCGAAAGUGUGGGUAUCAAACAGGAUUAGAGACCCCUGUAGUC
rnacentral:rRNA from 1 species